GACGAACGCUGGCGGCGUGCUUAACACAUGCAAGUCGAACGGAAAGGCCCUGCUUUUGUGGGGUGCUCGAGUGGCGAACGGGUGAGUAACACGUGAGUAACCUGCCCUUGACUUUGGGAUAACUUCAGGAAACUGGGGCUAAUACCGGAUAGGAGCUCCUGCUGCAUGGUGGGGGUUGGAAAGUUUCGGCGGUUGGGAAUGGACUCGCGGCUUAUCAGCUUGUUGGUGGGGUAGUGGCUUACCAAGGCUUUGACGGGUAGCCGGCCUGAGAGGGUGACCGGCCACAUUGGGACUGAGAUACGGCCCAGACUCCUACGGGAGGCAGCAGUGGGGAAUAUUGCACAAUGGGCGGAAGCCUGAUGCAGCAACGCCGCGUGCGGGAUGACGGCCUUCGGGUUGUAAACUGCUUUCGCCUGUGACGAAGCGUGAGUGACGGUAAUGGGUAAAGAAGCACCGGCUAACUACGUG
rnacentral:rRNA from 1 species